AGUAUACUGGAUAAGAAUUCUAGAUCUGUCAAAGAUCAGCUUGAUUUCAAUGUGCCAAAUCAUUCUUCGGUUUUUGAUAGGCUAGUUUUUCCUUCUGAUUCCCCAAAGGCCUCUAAAUCUUCUAAUCAGUUUUGUUCACGAUGCCUUAGGCAGGAUCAUGGGGUUUCAAAUUGUUCUAAUCCUAUCCGGUUUGUGAACCAUGAUAGAGGUACUAACUGGAGAGCUGCUCAUGCUGACAGAGGAGUGUGGAUUAUGUUUCUAGGGUAUCCUCUAGACUUCCGCUCUACAAGUUACAUCUCUAGAGCUAUGGGUUUGUUUGGAAAGUUAGACUACUUGCAGGAGGUUGAUGCUAUCCCUGGUCGUGUUCUGUUGCAGGCAUAUUUUGAUGGUGUUGAUUUGGUCCAAGGAAGAAUUAUUCCUAAUCAUGGUGGUCAAGGGGAAUCGUGGACCUUUGGAGUGCUUAACUUAAAUAAUAAGUUUGCUAAUCCACAACCGGAAGAUGAAGAUUUGCCCCCUAUUGGUGUCCCGCCACCGCCACCAGGCCCCCCUCAACAUCAAGGUCCAGCUUGGGAUGAUAUUAAUCAGCAGCAAGAGGAUGGGACUGGUCAGUCUGGUAUAAGCUCACAUGGAGGAAGUGAAAAUAUGCAGAUCAUAAUGUUGGCUGACAAUACUAAAUAUUUUCCACAGUUUUCUAUAACACCUGAGAUGCAGGAGAAGAUUGAUGAGUUCCUUUUGAGGGUGAAACUUUUGAGCUCUUUGCAAAAUAGAGCCCCCAUCCCAAUGCCCAUUCAAAUAGCUGCUCUUUUCAAUCAGCUCCUUUCCCUAAAAGGAAAGCUAUCACUGACUGUUCUCCACCUGUUAUUAAAAGGGACAACCUGGGUGAGGCCUCAAGUUGGGCCAUGGAAAAAAAGUCUAUUAGUGGUUGAUGAUGUCAUGCAUGCUUUAGGGGAUCUAAUGAUUUCUCUAGUUCCCCUGGCUAUUCUACCCCCUACCCCUCUGGAUAUUUUUGCUCCUGAUGAAGUCCCUCUACUUAUCCUUAAGGAAUCUAACUUUGAUUCUGAUAUUUAUUUUGAAACUGAUUAUUCCCCAUCUGAUUGUCUGUUUCCCUUUUUACAAAAGAUGGGAGUUCAAACGUGCAGUCUAUCUCUUGAGAAGGUGGCUAAAAGCAAGCUGGGAGGAGCUAAAUUGGACUUGGUGCCCAGGCCAGCUGAAGAAGAUGAUUAG
rnacentral:lncRNA from 1 species